ACUGUCGCUUCAAGUGAGGAGAACAAUCAAUGGGUCUUGCCAAAAGACAAAUCCUAAAGAAAGAUGCUGUAAUCAUUGACUACGGAUCUUGCCAGCGCUGACCAUACUGUAGCCUAUCGACAUUUGAGGUGUCUGAUGGGGCUGCACCUGGUUGCCAUGCAUUUCAGUGAACAAGCUCACCGCAGCCAAGCAAACAUAAAAUCAGUUCUCCCAAGGCAAACAUAUACAGUGAAGCCAGUGAAGAGCAAACCAGACCCCUGUCUGCCCAGUGUGGAAGGGCUGACUAUGAGGAGGCUAUGGCUGGAUUUGUUUCCCAUCUGGGAGACUGAAGCCUGAUUGAAGCGGGAUACAGGGCCAUCUUCUCCACAUUAGUCUCCACUUCCCCUCCCCAGUAAUCUCUGUUGUUGGUUGCAUUUUCCUUUUCUAAAAAGCAAUAUGUCUUGGUAUAGUUUUUUAUAAAAAGCACAGGGGUUGGAAAAGAGAUGGAUAGAUAGAUUGUAGAAGAGGGUCCUGAACAUUGUAUAUAUUAGGCUCUAAUAAUC